rnacentral:rRNA from 1 species
AUACGGAGGGUGCAAGCGUUAAUCGGAAUUACUGGGCGUAAAGCGCGCGUAGGCGGUUUGAUAAGUCGGAUGUGAAAUCCCCGGGCUCAACCUGGGAAUUGCAUUCGAUACUGUCAGGCUAGAGUGUGGUAGAGGGAAGUGGAAUUUCCGGUGUAGCGGUGAAAUGCGUAGAUAUCGGAAGGAACACCGGUGGCGAAGGCGGCUUCCUGGACCAACACUGACGCUGAGGUGCGAAAGCGUGGGGAGCAAACAGGAUUAGAAACCCUAGUAGUCC